rnacentral:rRNA from 1 species
CCUACGGGGGGCAGCAGUGGGGAAUAUUGGACAAUGGGGGGAACCCUGAUCCAGCCAUGCCGCGUGUGUGAAGAAGGCCCUCGGGUUGUAAAGCACUUUCAGUGAGGAAGAACGCCUGGUGGUUAAUACCCAUCAGGAAAGACAUCACUCACAGAAGAAGCACCGGCUAACUCCGUGCCAGCAGCCGCGGUAAUACGGAGGGUGCGAGCGUUAAUCGGAAUUACUGGGCGUAAAGCGCGCGUAGGUGGCUUGAUAAGCCGGUUGUGAAAGCCCCGGGCUCAACCUGGGAAUGGCAUCCGGAACUGUCAAGCUAGAGUGCAGGAGAGGAAGGUAGAAUUCCCGGUGUAGCGGUGAAAUGCGUAGAGAUCGGGAGGAAUACCAGUGGCGAAGGCGGCCUUCUGGACUGACACUGACACUGAGGUGCGAAAGCGUGGGUAGCAAACAGGAUUAGAUACCCGGGUAGUC